GCAUAGAGUAGUUCUGUGAACGAUAUUUUUGGUUUCUACAAGUGGCAUCACAAACCUGCUGAAUUCCAGGCUAGAAUCCAGCUUCAGCAACUUCUUGUCUCUAUCACCCUUCAGUCAGAGUGUGAUGCUUUUCCCAACAUAUCUGCAGAUGAGUCCUAUACUUUACUUAUGAAAGAACCAGUGGCUGGCUUUAAGGCCAGCAGAGUUUGGGGAGCAAACAGAGUUUGGUUUGCCCGUUAAUUUAUCAAGAUUCUUAUGGGAUUUUCACCAUCAAUGGAUCCACCAUUAUUGAUUCUCCAAGGUUUUCUCAUAGAGGAAUCUUAGUUGAUGCAUCCAGACACUAUCUGCCAGUUAAGAUUCUUCUUAAAACUCUGGAUGCCAUGGCUUUUAAUAAGUUUAAUGUUCUUCACUGGCACGUAGUUGAUGAGCAGUCUUUCCCCCAUCAAAGCAUCACCUUUCCUGAGUUAAGCAAUAAAGAAAGCUAUUCUUUGUCUCCGGUUUAUACAUGAAAUGAUGUCCAUACGGUGAUUGAAUAUGCCAGAUUAUGAGGAAUUCCAGUCCUGCCAGAAUUUGAAACCCCUGGAUAUACAAUACCUUGGGGAAAAGGUCAGAAAGACCUCCUGACUCCAUGUUACAGUAGAAAAAACAAGUUGGACUCCUUUGGACCUAUAAACCCUACUCUGAAUAUAACAUACAGCUUCCUCAUCACAUUUUUCAAAGAAAUUAGUGAGGUGUAUUCAAAUCAAUUCAUUCAUUUGGGAGGAGAUGAAGUGGAAUUUAAGUGUUGGGAAUCAAAUCCAAAAAUUCAAGAUUUCAUGAGGCAAAAAGGCUUUGGCACAGAUUUUUAAAAACUAGAAUCUUUCUACAUUCAAAAACUUUGAUACUAUUGCAGCCAUAAACAAGGGAUCCAUUGUCUGGCAGGAGGUUUUUGAUGAUAAAGUGAGCCCGGCACAAUAGUUGAAAUGUGGAAAGACAGCGGGUAUCCUGAGGAAUUCAGUAGAGUCACAGUGUCUGGCUUCCCUUAAUCCUUUCUGCUCCUUGGUACGAUUAGUUAUGGACAAGAUUUGAGGAACUACUGUAAAGUGGAACCUCCUGAUUUUGGUGGUACUCAGGAACAGAAAGAACUUGUCAUUGAUGGAGAAGCUUGUCUAUGGGGGGAAUAUGUGGAUGCAACUAACCUCACUCCAAGAUUAUGGCCUCGGGCAAGUGCUGUUGGUGAGAGACUCUGGAGUUCCAAAGAUGUCAGAAAUACGGAUGAUGCCUAUGACAGACUGACAAGGCACCGCUGCAGAAUGGUCAAAUGUGGAAUAGCUGCACAAACUCUUUUUGCUGGAUAUUGUAACCAUGAGAACAUGUGAAAAUGGAGGGGGAAAAAGGCCAUAGCAAUCUGUGCUAUAAUCAACUUCAUUUUGAAAUCAUGUAAAUUAAGACAUUAGACUGUUUUUUGAAUAAAAUAUUUUUAUUGAUUGAACCUC